rnacentral:rRNA from 1 species
AUUGAACGCUGGCGGCAGGCCUAACACAUGCAAGUCGAGCGGAUGAAGGGAGCUUGCUCCUGGAUUCAGCGGCGGACGGGUGAGUAAUGCCUAGGAAUCUGCCUGGUAGUGGGGGAUAACGUCCGGAAACGGGCGCUAAUACCGCAUACGUCCUGAGGGAGAAAGUGGGGGAUCUUCGGACCUCACGCUAUCAGAUGAGCCUAGGUCGGAUUAGCUAGUUGGUGGGGUAAAGGCCUACCAAGGCGACGAUCCGUAACUGGUCUGAGAGGAUGAUCAGUCACACUGGAACUGAGACACGGUCCAGACUCCUACGGGAGGCAGCAGUGGGGAAUAUUGGACAAUGGGCAAAAACCUGAUCCAGCCAUGCCGCGUGUGUGAAGAAGGUCUUCGGAUUGUAAAGCACUUUAAGUUGGGAGGAAGGGCAGUAAGUUAAUACCUUGCUGUUUUGACGUUACCAACAGAAUAAGCACCGGCUAACUUCGUG